CCCGCCCGCGCCCUCCACCCAGACGAGCUCCUCCCACUCCCGGGGCGCCCACACAGCGCCCCGGGCUCACGGCGGGGCAUCGGCAGGGUUCCUUCCCGCUCCGUUGCCCUCUCAGGGGGCUCCUGGGUCGGAGCGCCCGCGGGGCCGUAACCCGAGCCCCCCCAAAAGGACCCAGGUCCAGGUCUCAGAGCGGCGCGGGGACGCCGCGAGGAGGCGCCACCACUCCAGCUUGCGGGGUCCUGGCGCCCCCAGGGCGGCCCCGAGGCUCCGGGCGAUCACCUGCACGGGGCGGAGCUGGGGGCGGGACCCCUGGGCGGGGCGGGAUUCCCACCAGCCGCGUCCAGCCUGGCGGCGGCGGCGUCACCAGCGACUGAUCGCCGGAGCGCAGCGGGGCGCCCAGCGGGGUCGCCGGAGCAGGUGCAGGGCUCGUCUCCAGGCUUUCUGAGUUGUCUUCUGCCCUCUGUCCUGUCUCUGCUGUCAGCGCCACCUUCGGUCCACCUGUUGUUUGCGGGUCUUUCAUCAUGUCUGAGGCCUUCCUCUCAACGGUCUCUUGAUGAGACGUGGAAGUAGGUUGCUAUUUAAAAGUAAGGGGGUCAAGUGUGUGGCAUAGUGGUUAAGACUCCGUUUGGGGGGCUGGCAUGUUGCAUAGUGGGUAAAGCUGCUGCCUGUGGUGCCAGCAUCCCAUACGGCGCUGGUUCGAGUCCUGGCUGCUCCACUUCUGAUCCAGCUCUCUGUUAUGGCCUGGGAAAGCAGUAGAAGAUGGCUGAAGUCUUUGGGCCCCUGCACCUGCAUGGGAAACCUGGCUUCAGAUCGCUCCGGUUGUUACAGCCAUUUGGGGAGUGAACCAAUGGAUGGACGUUCUCUCUCUCUCUGCCUCUGCCUCUCUGUAACUCUGCCUUUCAAAUAAAUAAAUAAAUAAAUCUUUUUUAAAAAAAAAU
rnacentral:lncRNA from 1 species